GAUGAACGCUAGCUACAGGCUUAACACAUGCAAGUCGCGGGGCAGCAUGUCGGUUGCUUGCAACCGAUGAUGGCGACCGGCGCACGGGUGAGUAACGCGUAUCCAACCUUCCCAUGUCCACGGGAUAGCCCGUCGAAAGGCGGAUUAAUACCGUAUGAGGUCACAUGCGGGCAUCUAAUUGUGACGAAAGGUUUAGCGGACAUGGAUGGGGAUGCGUCCGAUUAGCUAGUUGGCGGGGUAACGGCCCACCAAGGCGACGAUCGGUAGGGGUUCUGAGAGGAAGGUCCCCCACAUUGGAACUGAGACACGGUCCAAACUCCUACGGGAGGCAGCAGUGAGGAAUAUUGGUCAAUGGAGGCAACUCUGAACCAGCCAAGUAGCGUGCAGGAUGACGGCCCUAUGGGGUUGUAAACUGCUUUUAUGCGGGGAUAAAUUGACUCACGUGUGGGUCAUUGCAGGUACCGCAUGAAUAAGGACCGGCUAAUUCCGUGCCAG
rnacentral:rRNA from 1 species